GUGACAUCUCGAGGAUACCGCGGUAUUGAUGACAAAGAUGGGGACUAGCAAUGCAAAAAAGCAAAGGUUAACAUUUGUGGCGAUGCACUGCCUGAAGGAAUUCCACAACCUAAUCCGACAACAUGACUAACAGCGCUAUGCGAGCGCUGUGAAAGGGUCUCUUUGAGCUACAAUAACGUCGGAACUAAUAUGAGUAGAUGUAGACUGAUAAACAUACAUUCGUUUUGAAGAAUAGUUCAAAUACUAGAAAUACAGUGCAAAUAAAACAUACUUAUACGACUGUCUGU